rnacentral:lncRNA from 1 species
AAGCUAUAAUUUCGUUAAAUUUUUUAUCCCUCAGAAAAAGGAAACAAGAAAUGACAUUGAGAAAAAGGCAAAGAAUAAGUAGAUGGUUGUACUGCUCCAGCAUGUUGUCUGAACCCAGAGAGAUGACUCACACUGUGGGGACAAAUAAGAUAAUUUUCCUGACAGUACCAGGUAAGAAAAAGAGACUGCUGUGUCUUAGCUAAAAGUUCAUUAGGAUAUUAGUGUGGAUUUCCCAACUGAGCACACAGCGACGUUCUUUAUCCCAGCAUCUUUUCAUAUUUUAAUAACUUCCCUUUGUAGUGGGCUGAGUUAAAGAAAAAAAACCCUUUGAGGAGAGUUUCAUGAGUGAGAUGAA